AUACUUACCUGGCAGGGGAGUUACCAUGACCACGAAGGUAAUUUCCCAGGGGGAGGCUCAUUCUUUGCACUCUGGAUGUGCUGACCGCUGUGAUUGCCCCAAAUGUAGAAAACUCAGUGCGUAAUCUGUGGCGGUGGGGACUGCGUUCGCGCUUUCCCCUG
rnacentral:snRNA from 1 species